CCUUUCUUUCUUAUUAAUUUCGGUUCAGACAUCGUUUGUUGCUCUGAAUUAGAUUCUUAAAAACAAGAUUUUAUCCAUUGUUUUUUCACUCCCCAUGCUGAUGUCUCCGAUCACGAUUCCGACGCUCUCGAUCGGCUCCGACCGCCACCAGGUGCCGGAAUCACCGGAGCUGACGCAAUCGGUAAUUCAGUCCGUCAAACUUGGCGGAGGAGCCGCUCGGCGAAGCCCUGUCGGAGGCGAUCUCCCCCGGUUUGUUCGGAUCCAGAGAUGAGCUCUGGCACACCGAUUCCCAUCGCGGCCUCGUCGACUCUGCGGUCCGACGAGUUUGCAGAGCUAUUCAAGAGACUCGGGCUCGAGAAGUGUAUCGGCAUGAGCAAUUUCUCGUGCAAGAAGCUUCAACGCAUCCUCUCUGUCGACAAAAUCCCAUCUUGCUUCAAUUAAGUGAGCUUGAGAUGGGCAAACGAGCUAUAGGAAGGAUCAUGGUUGUGAAAAGCUUAUCGUUCUUGGCGAACCUUGCAUCUCUCCGAGAGGCGCUAUCAAAUCUGCCGAGGAAAUGCGGGAUGGUACUGGAAUUGCUACCCCCUGAUAUCCCGAAAUCCACAAGUAGGGUUGAGGAUGAGAGUCAUACUUGAAAUCUAGAGCUCGAUGAGGCGAGGGGAAGACGAAGAUGCGAAACUCGAAUCCGAAUUUCAACACCAACUUAAAAGGGUUAGAGUGAGACGGUGGAAUUCCCGUAAUCCCAAGGUAGUUUCGUCUUUUCAUCUCCGCAGACGAAGAUGCAGAGAUUCGAAUUCGGAUUUCGGGUAUUAUCAUAUACCCUCCUUGCGCGGGUAUCCGAAAUUCUGUUGUUUGUUUUUUUAUAGCUCUCCCUAUCUCAUAUUGUACAUUGAUACAGAUGUGAAAUUUCUCGUGUAAGAAUCUUUCAGCGGUCAUGUGAUGUGACACAAGGGGUUUUGGAUUUACAUAGUUGAAAGUUAUUUGACAACGUUGUGAGGCCAAUU